CAGAAGGGAGGAUAUUAUGAAACCAGCGGAACGAAAAGAAAAGAAGGAACGUAAAAUAGAGGUUCCUAAUUAGAAUAAAAGGUUGUAAUAACGAAUUAGGAAUACAGCUGUUGGCUUGAAUCGUCGAAUCUUCGGAAAUCCGUUCCACUGAGUUGAUCGGAAAUUUAUCCCGUGGAAAAAUGAACAAGCGCAACAGAAAAGUAUUAACAUCGGAAAUCUUCGGGGAAAAAGGAAACAGUUGGAAUUUACUGAAUACGGUUGAGAAAACUCCCCGCAUGCAGUUGCGGGGCGAAAACUGUGCUACCCCAUGUAAAGAAGAGGGGAGUUAAAUUUUAGCUAGUAAGAAAGGAAUCGAAGAAAUAGACGUAAAACUGGAAGAAGGAGCCGAAGGCGCUGAUCAGGAGACAGAAACGAAACAGGCAGAAAUCCUGAUUUUGUGUCUUAUUUUUUUUCCCCUGGAGCAAAAUCGAAUUGGAUUUUGGAGUUAAACGGGGCGAGGCUGAGAAUCGGGACCUUUGAUUCCCACGGGAAAAUGAACCUUGGUUUUCUAACGUCUUCCCUCCUUCCUUCCCUCCCUCUGUUUUUGGAAUAAAAUUCCAGACGCCUUGGUUUAAUAUAUAUAUUUAUUUCUACGUGGAUUUGCGUUGACCGAUCAGAGGAAGAAAGAACAGGCGCAUCAUUUCUCAGAGAGAGGUGGAUGAUAUAGAUAAUAAGCUUUUAUUUUAUUUUUUCGCCCGAGAAAGCAAGCCCAGGUCGCUUAAACCUAGCCGUUUGGACCGACGCCCGUGUAACGUGGGAAUACGUCUGCUUGCAAACACGUGUACUCCAGAGAGGGGGGAAAAACUGUCCACGGGGUGAAUAAGAGGGUGGUCAAUCUUCUUCGGACGAAAUGGGAACGUCAGGGUUUGCUCCCUCGUCGAGGCCCAUCCGCUCCUCGCUUCCUCGCGAGUAAGGCGGUGCCCUCUUAAGCUGCUUUAGGAGCGGCUCGGCGCCCGGGGUGAAUCCAGAGGGAUCGCCUCGUGAUGCAGGAUCUGUCCCAGCGAAUUCCACGGGAUUUCCUUUUGCUGGGGGAAGCAAAAUCCCAAACUUGGCUGGCAGCUUUUUGUUUGAACGCCGUUCGGCUUCUCAAAAAAA